rnacentral:rRNA from 1 species
UCCGUAGGUGGACUAAUAAGUCAGAGGUGAAAGCCUGCAGCUCAACUGUAGAACUGCCUUUGAUACUGUUAGUCUUGAAUUAUUGUGAAGUGGUUAGAAUAUGUAGUGUAGCGGUGAAAUGCAUAGAUAUUACAUAGAAUACCGAUUGCGAAGGCAGAUCACUAACAAUAUAUUGACACUGAUGGACGAAAGCGUGGGGAGCGAACG